GGAUCCAAGAAAGAAGUUGCAUUUCCUAAAUGUUUAUAAACCUUUAUUUAUAAAUUAUAACUUAGUUUCUCUCCCUCUCUGCCCUUAGUUCUCCUUUUAAAGGUAGGAGCAGGCUCCUUGUGUUCUUUUAGGGAAGAUUUAGCACUUCUUAGAUUGCUUGUCUCUGGAGCUACUACCGGGUCACACUGCUCCUUCACCUGUCUGCAAAACUGGCACCAGGAAGUUACCUGAGCCAGGUGUGUUCAGUCAGACCUGUCUCCUUCCAGGGCACUGCAUCCUUGAGGGGCAUAGAAUAAGGCUCACCCUUGGUUCACUUUGUUCUAGAUCCAGACUUCCCCGGCCUUAUCCCACCAUCAGCUGCACCAAAAGCCCCACUCCUGAGGUGGCUUUUAUGAGAUAAAGGUAAAGGACAGAAGAGAGAGAAGGUAGACAAUAACCUCUGUCUGACUUGCCUCUUGUAUUUGCCCAUGAAUAAGCAACAAACUCAUCUUUGCAGACAUAAAAGUUAAUAUUAACUCAUGUAAUGGCUUUCUGACAAUUUUCGGUGUGGAAUUAUUUUUACUUGAAAGAAUUAAAACAACAUAUUUAGAGAUACAUGAUUUAAUCCGGGGUGCAAUGCUUGAAUUGCUGCAGGGAAAAAAAUAACGGUAGCUGUAUCACUUACAUAUUAAAGACUGAAGAAAAUGAUUAGGGAGGUGUAUAUGCCUUCAACAAGCAUUCCCACGGGCCAGUCAUUGACAGCUUUAUCAUGCUUACAGCUCAGUCUCUGGACUCUUAUGUUGGCUCUAAGACUCUGACGCAUCCACCACACAAAUACAUUUCAUAAGCAAUCCUGGACUCUGAGGCAAAGUAUGCAAAAAACUUCGUGGGCUGCUUUGAGUCUCUAAACAGAUGAGAGGGGAUUGCACAGGAAAGGAUAUUCCAAAGAUUUGACAUGUACUGAUUAAAUCCGAAUAACUUUGCCUCUCUAUUCCGUGCCUAAAGCCACAUAUUGGUGAGUUUUCUUAUAACGAGUAUGUCAUUGUUAUUCAGGUAUAUAAUUGCACACACCACACACACGCGCACACACACACACACACACGCCCCAAGAAAGCACAGCCCUUUCGAGAUUUCCUCGAUGCAGAAGCAGAGUGAGGUUGUGCUGAGCCUUAUGGGAAAGAGCCCAGAGACCUGCUUUUGUUGGCUUCUCAGGUUUGCUGGCAUGUGCAGCCUGGGGUCUCGCUCUCUUUCCCCCCAAAACACUGGCUGUCUGCACUGGUGAGAAGUGUGAGGAGAGGAAAUUGGGGAAAUAAGACUUUCUGUAAAAUGACCACAACUGUUGGUGGGAGGAAGGAGUGGAAACAUGGAGAGAGGACGUUUUAGAAAAAUGUGUUUUCCUUAAGCAACCAGAAUCACAAAGUUCAACUAAGGCAAUUUCUGUAAAACCCCCAGACUAUUUAUACAUUUAUUUAAUUCAGUGAAGAAAGGUCUGUUCCGUUAUUUGAUGAGCGUUUCUGACAUGCUGCUACCAGGAAUUUGGUUAAACUCUUCUAAUCUUCAGUAUUUUGGGAAGACUUGCCUUGUGGCCUCUGGGCCAUUCCCUGGAUGGUCACUUAUUAUAUUAACAGAGAAGGAGAAAAACUGCUAAAAAGUAAAACCCUAGAAGGUAUGGGAAGAAAGAACAGCGCCCGGGGAAGCUGUGUGUGAGUGGGGAAAACAACUUCCUCUUCUGAACAAUCUUUCAGAGGACAUUCCUCCUAGAGUUUAAAACAUUACAGUCUCCAGAGCCCAGCGCCAAUUCCGUGUCAGCCCACAACCCGCUCUGGUUGCACAGCUUCACGAGUCACAAGGACUGGAUGGACAAGUGUGUGUGCCUAGUGACUGCCUUCUCCCAGCACAUGCACCAUGUCCCGGUGGCAUUGCCGGAGAUGGUCCGUGCCCUCUCAGCCCAGCAGCAGACCCUCAGGCAGAUCACCAUCUGUGGAGACCGCCAGGCCAAGGACACCAAAGUUCUGGUGCAGUGCGUCCACCCUGUCUACAUUCCUAACAUGGUGCUGAUUCUGGCUGAUGGGGACCCCUCGAGUUUCCUGUCCCACUGGCUGCCUUUCCUGAGUACCCUCCGAAGGCAGGAAGACCAGGCCACUGCGUAUGUGUGUGAGAAUCAAGCCUGCUCAAUGCUCAUCAUGGAUCCCUGUGAAUUACGAAAACUGCUACAUCCGUGACUGCCCCAACCCUCUUGGGCUGGGGCAGAAGGUAGAGCUUCCCAACUGACUAAAGACUCAGGUCCUGCAGGGCCGUGUAGAACUUGUGGCCAUCCCUGAGCACCCUGCCACCAGGAAGCUGAAAAGAAGGCCCAGGUGCUCCCUCCUUUGGAAUUGGUGGGAAAUUUAAACCCCACAAGCCUCUACCCCUGUGCAAAAGCCUUCACCCCAGCCUCAUCUCUACCCACAAUAAACGCCAAGCCAGUCUCUCUUCUCUGGAUUCUAAAGCUAUUUUUGGAUCAUUAUGUAAGCAAUAAACCUUUCCAUACUUUCUUAGUGGAUUCAUAUAUGGUAUCAUCAGUCUCAACAUCUGAACCAAAUUUUGGGUGAGAAGUUCGUCCUGCCUCUGGGAAAUCUCUUUAGAAGAGUUUGCCAAUAGACAUGUCAUCUUUGCCCAUUGCCCCUUUCCCUUCCUCUUGCUGCUGGUGGACCAAACAGCCCUCUUGUAACACAGAGUACCACGCCUGUGCCAAGGAUGACUGAGUAGAAAUGAAAAGGAACUGGGUCCCUGGUGACAUUGUGAGUUACCCUCCCACCCAUAGACUGUCUGCUUCUGGACCCUUCAGUCAGGAAGAACAAGCUGAAUGUGUGCAGCCGCUUAUAGUUGAAGAUAAUCCCAAACAUAAGGCUUAUGAUUGAAUAAUCUUUUAUGACUUCAGGAGCAGAAAUCAGUAUUUUUCCUGGGAUGUGAACAGGCAACAAACAUAAUACUUGUACCACACAUAGGAGUAAGCCAUUCUCAGUGGAGGGCCCCUGUAGCUAAGGGACACUGGAAUUUCCAGGGCUAACCUCAUUUUGGGUGAAACGUUAGGGGAAACAAGGCUGCAUAAAUUCACAGGGAGAGCCUGUUUCCAUCACUGGAAAAUGGUCUGAAAAUCAGUCUACAGUAGAUUUUAAAGAUAGUUUCAGAACAAAGCAUCUGACUUGGGAAUCCACCCAUAUGUGUCUAUCUCAUGCUGUUAAUGGGCUUAAGAAAAUGAAAGUGUCAGGAAGAAACGGCAUGUUUAUGGAGCACCAAGUCAGCCACUAGCAAAGUACUAGAUAUGCAGACAGAGGAGAAUACAGGCUUCCUCCCCUACCCCCUGGUGGAGGGUAUUUGUGCAGUAAUACUCUAAAAAGUCAUUAAGAGAAUGACAUCAGGUGCCUUCUAAUAGAAUUAGAAUUUGAUUUCAUUUGUCCAAAGCUUUUGUUAUGUUUAUAUUUUUCUAUAUGGAUACAAAUACCAGCCAGAGCAAGUGACGGUGAAGAAAAUCAUGUCAGCCAGGUACAGGAAACUGAAAGCUAGACUCACCAUCCCUGCCUCAAUAAGCCCAAUGGCAUUUCUCAUCCUGACCUGGCAGGUAAGACAGAAAACAGAGGGGUUGGGAUGCAGAGCCUCCUGGGCCUCCAUAUAAGCAUUGGGAUGAAACAAUAUAAUAUUUAUUUUUUGAAGAAAUGCAUGAAUAAAAAGUCUAUGGGCAAAAGGAAAUAAUACAAUUGUGGAACAGAAAUAUUAACACAAUCUAAACCAUUUAUCAUUAGAAAAAUGAUAUAUUCUGGAAAAAAACAUUUCUAAUUGAAGCUCAUCAAAGAUCCAAAUGUUUUAUCUUUAUAUUUCACUUAGUUGUCAGUAAAAAUUGCAAACAACUUCUAGAGUGCUUUACAGAUGAACAGAUGUUGAUAUCUUUAAGCGGUAUUUUAUAAGUAACUUUAAGUACUCAGUAUCUUAGUAAUUUUGCUAGUCCACAUUUCAAAGACAAAAUUUGAAACAUUCAUAUUAUUGAUAGAGUAAAUGUGCAAUCAAAACAAAGAAAAAAACAGGAGGACAAAUUAU
rnacentral:lncRNA from 1 species